rnacentral:ncRNA from 1 species
GGAUAGAGGCGCGAAAACGAUGAGUUACCCGAUUUCGGUCCGUCAAGACCGCGGGGAAAGGCGUUUUCGCCGAAAUGAAGCGUGGGUUGACGCCCGUGCUUUGUUGGGGGUAUGCAGAAGAUGUAUGCCACUGUCGCAUUUGCGGAGAGCUAUC